rnacentral:rRNA from 1 species
GCUAUAAUGCAAGUCGAACGCACAGCGAAAGGUGCUUGCACCUUUCAAGUGAGUGGCGAACGGGUGAGUAACACGUGGACAACCUGCCUCAAGGCUGGGGAUAACAUUUGGAAACAGAUGCUAAUACCGAAUAAAACUUAGUGUCGCAUGACACAAAGUUAAAAGGCGCUUCGGCGUCACCUAGAGAUGGAUCCGCGGUGCAUUAGUUAGUUGGUGGGGUAAAGGCCUACCAAGACAAUGAUGCAUAGCCGAGUUGAGAGACUGAUCGGCCACAUUGGGACUGAGACACGGCCCAAACUCCUACGGGAGGCUGCAGUAGGGAAUCUUCCACAAUGGGCGAAAGCCUGAUGGAGCAACGCCGCGUGUGUGAUGAAGGCUUUCGGGUCGUAAAGCACUGUUGUAUGGGAAGAACAGCUAGAAUAGGAAAUGAUUUUAGUUUGACGGUACCAUACCAGAAAGGGACGGCUAAAUACGUGCCAGCAGCCGCGGUAAUACGUAUGUCCCGAGCGUUAUCCGGAUUUAUUGGGCGUAAAGCGAGCGCAGACGGUUUAUUAAGUCUGAUGUGAAAGCCCGGAGCUCAACUCCGGAAUGGCAUUGGAAACUGGUUAACUUGAGUGCAGUAGAGGUAAGUGGAACUCCAUGUGUAGCGGUGGAAUGCGUAGAUAUAUGGAAGAACACCAGUGGCGAAGGCGGCUUACUGGACUGCAACUGACGUUGAGGCUCGAAAGUGUGGGUAGCAAACAGGAUUAGAUACCCUGGUAGUCCACACCGUAAACGAUGAACACUAGGUGUUAGGAGGUUUCCGCCUCUUAGUGCCGAAGCUAACGCAUUAAGUGUUCCGCCUGGGGAGUACGACCGCAAGGUUGAAACUCAAAGGAAUUGACGGGGACCCGCACAAGCGGUGGAGCAUGUGGUUUAAUUCGAAGCAACGCGAAGAACCUUACCAGGUCUUGACAUCCUUUGAAGCUUUUAGAGAUAGAAGUGUUCUCUUCGGAGACAAAGUGACAGG